AAAUGAUUUCCCACGGCUAGAAUGUCGGCUUGUGCUCCUGUAAUCCCAUAAAUCACAGGCGUCGGCCCCUCAGUCCCUGACCAUCCAGCUGGAGCCGCACAGCCACGUCGUACUUCACCACUAAAAGCCUCCCAAUAUGGAGCUUCUGUGUUAAAUGGAGAAGGAGGGAGAAAUUAGAGAAGAGGGGUUUGGGGCAGCCGGACUACAAGAGGCAAGAGCAGCAAUCAUGAAUUCACUUGUUUAAAUUUCCCUUUAAAACAUAAAGGACAGGACUGGGAGGCAGGACCCCCUGAUCCCCCCACCCACCCCAUAAAUGAACAGAAAAACUGUGCUGCCUGCAGGCCGAAGUGGCAAAAGCUUGGAAAGACGACCAGAGGAUGAAAGUAGAAAGGAGUCCAAAAGAGGCCUCAAUCAAAGCACAGCAGCAAAGGCCACCACACUAAUGACAAUCGUCCUCGAUAAAGGCACACAGGUCCUUGAGAACUUCUAGAAGCGCCGUCUGGCAUCUGAACAUCUGAGAACAAGCCAAGCAGCCACCAAGCUUGCUGAUCCUACCUCUCCAAAAUUGUCCUUUUGAAGGUCCCCAGAAUGCUGCUGACCACCACCCUGCUCAGUCACUCAUCCUGCGUGUCUUUUCUUCUUUCUUUAACGUCACAUGAUGGGAAGGUGAGGAGCCACCAGGGACAAAAAUUUAUAAAAAAGACCAAGAGGUAAAUCACCCCAGGACAGAACCAGAAUCCAAACAUCUUCAUUGUGUUGUGGAGUUUAGUGAGCUGUGCAGAUCAUAGCAGGCGUCAAGGUGAGUGGCGUGUGCUCCCUGGUUGUCCGAGAUUGUGGAUAACAUGAUAAUUGCUACCUUUUUUUGCUUUCUUUUGACUGGGCCUGUGUGUUCAAUGAUUUUGGCUUUGUAAUAUUUUUCUUUCAGUCAUUUUGGCCUUUGUAGCCUGCUCCUUGAGUUUGGGCCCAGGCUGAGGUUUUAUUUCUAUGCCACAAGUGUGUUAGCCGAGCAGCUAAAUUCUCUUCAAACUAAUAAGCUUUAGACUGUAGCUACAGAGUUUUUGACUGUGCGUUUUGUUCGACGAUUUGGGUUUUGUAAUUUUUUUCAGUCAAUUUGGCCCAUGAAGCCUCCUUCUUGAGUUUGGGGUCAGGUUGAGUUUUUGUUUUGAUGCCAUACUUUCAUUUUUGCACCCCAGUUUUAGAGAUGUAGCCUGUUGUGGAGUUUCAUGAGCCCCGCAUUUGAAAAUAGACGUCAAGGUGAGGGUCGAGCACUCCCUGCUUGUCCAAGAUUGAGGAUUACAUUUUAUUUGCGACUGUUCUUUUCAUUCUCUUCAAACUAAUCCUGAAUGCAUUUGACUGAGGUUACAGAAUUUUUGCCUGUGCUCUUUGUUUGACAAUUUUGGUUUUGUGAUAUUUUUCAGUCAUUUUGGCCCAUGUAGCCUGCUCCUUGAGUUUGGGCCCAGGCUGAGGUUUCGUUUCUGGGCCAUAAGUGUGUUAGCUGAGCAGCUAAAUUCUCUUCAAACUAAUAAGCUUCAGACUUCAGCUACAGAGCUUUUGACUGUGUGUUUUGUUCGACGAUUUUGGUUUUGUAAUAUUUUCUUUCAGACAUUUUGGCCUAUGAAGCCUACCUCUUGAGUUUAGGGCCAGGCUCAGGUUUUGUUUCUAGGCCAUAAGUGGAGCAUUGAAGCCAAAGUUUAGAGAUGAAGCCUGUUGUGCACUUUUGUGAGCUCUGCUGUUCAUAACAAGAAUCAAGGUGAGUGGCGUGUGCUCCUGGUUGUCCAAGAUUGUGGAUAAAAUGCUAAUUGCUAUUUCUUUUUGCGUUGUUUUGAUUGGGCCUGUGUGUUUAAUGAUUUUGGCUUUGCAGUAUUAUUUAUCAUUCAUUUUGGCCCAUGAAGCCUCCUUCUUGAGUUUGGGGUCAGGUUGAGUUUUUGUUUUGAUGCCAUACUUUCAUUUUUGCACCCCAGUUUUAGAGAUGAAGCCUGUUGUGGAGUUUCAUGAGCCCCACAUUUGAAAACAAGCAUCAAGGUGAGCGUUGUGUGCUCCCUGGUUGUCCAAGAUUGUGGAUCCCAUUUUAUUUGCGACUGCUCUUUGUUUUCUUUUCAAACUAAUAAGCUUCAGACUGCAGUUACAGAAGCUUUGACUGCUCAUUUUGUUCACCGAUUGGGGUUUUGUGAUAUUUUUUUGGACAUUUUGGCCUGUGAAGCCUGCUCCUUGAGUUUGCGGCCAGGCUGAGGUUUUUGUUUCUAGGCCAUAAGUGUGUUAGCCGAGCAGCCAAAGUUUAGAGAUGAAGCCUGUUGUGGAGUUUCGCGAGCCUCGCAGUUCAAAAGAGUUAUUAAUGUGAGUGGCGUGUGCUCCCUGGUUGUCCAAGAUUGUGGAUAAAAUGCUAAUUGCGACUUCUCUUUGCUUUCUUUUUACUGGGUCUGUGUGUUCAACGAUUUUGGUUUUGUAAUAUUUUUCAUCAGUCAUUCUGGCCUGUGAAGCCUGCUCCUUGAGUUUGGGGCCAGGCUGAGAUUUUGUUUCUAGGCCAUAUGUGUGUUAGCUGAGCAGCUAUAUUUUAGACUGUUGUGGAGUUUCAUGAGCUUCACAGUUCAUAACAGGCGUCAAGGUGAGCAUCGUGCACUCCCUGCUGGUCUAAGAUUGAGGACUACAUUUUACAGUCAUAUGAAAAAGUCAGGGACCCCCUAACAUAAAAGAUAACAGUGGUCUGUCUGUCAUUUCCUAGGAGUACUGCGGUGUUUUCCAAACAAAGAUUUUUAGUGACGCAGUAUUUAGUUGUAUGAAAUGAAAUCAAAUGUGAAAAACUGGCUGUGCACAAAUGUGGGUCCCCUUGUCAUUGUGCUGAUUUGAAUGCCUGUCACUGCUCAAUGCUGAUUACUUGGUGUGAUGAGCUCAUUAAGCCUUGAACUUCAUAGACUGGUGUGUCCCAUCAUGAGGUAUAAAGGGAUUUAAGGUGGUCAAUUACAAGUUGGGCUUCCUUCCCUUUGACUCUCCUCUGAUGAGUGACAGCAUGGGAUCCUCAAAGCAACUCUCCAAAGAUCUGAAAACAAAGAUUGUUGAGUCUCCUGGUUUAGGGGAAGGCUACAAAAAGCCAUCUCAGAGGUUUAAACUGUCAGUUUCAACUGUAAGGAAUGGAAUCAGGAAAUGGAAGGCCACAGGCACAGUUACUGUUAAACCAGCAGGUCUGGCAGGCCAAGAAAAACACAGGAGCGGCAUAUGAGCAGGAUUGUGAGAAUGGUGACAGACAACCACAGAUCACCUCCAAAGACCUGCAAGAACAUCUGCUGCAGA